UAUGGCUUAGCUAUUUUAUUAAGCAGCAUUAGCAUACAAAUAGGACAUCAAUAACCAAUUACAAUCUUCAUCUUGGGAAAGCAGGUCUCCUCCAUCCCCUCUGUGAGUGCUAACUCAGCCACUUAAAGGUCUUGGGCACUUCAUGAUGAUGGCAUUCAAGGCUCUUCUCAAUCAACCCCCAGGUGGUCUCUCUAACCUGACACCCUGCCCCUCCCCUCUGCAUGCUGCUUUCUAGCCAAGCAGGGGUCUACCUGCUGCACUCCAAGCAGAGCCUAUGCCCAUCGGCCUGUGUUUCUUAUCUCCUGCCAAUCCUGGCCACCCAAUCUCUGACUCUUUAAUUCCUCAAUUCUGUGCAGUCACCUCCCAUUCUUCAUUUAUUCAGCAGAUGCUGAGGGGAUACUAGCUAAAUACCAAUCACUGAGUGACUCAGGGGAAACACCAGGAGCAAAGCAGACAUGAUUCCUCCCUGCCUGA
rnacentral:lncRNA from 10 species